GACGUAGGGGGCAAGCGUUGUUCGGAAUUAUUGGGCGUAAAGCGCUCGUAGGCGGGACAGGGAGUUCGUGCUGAAAGACCUCGGCUCAACUGAGGGACCGGCUCGAAUACUCUUGUUCUUGAGGCAAUCAGAGGGUGAUGGAAGUCCCGGUGUAGCGGUGAAAUGCGUAGAGAUCGGAAGGAACGCCCGUGGCGAAAGCGAGGUCCUGGACGUUUUCUGACGCUGAGACGCGAAAGCCAGGGGAGCGAACGGG
rnacentral:rRNA from 1 species